GGUUGUGGCUCAGCGGUAGAGUGCUCGCCUCGCAUGUGUGAGACCCUGGGUUCACGAUCAUCAGCACCA
rnacentral:tRNA from 1 species